GUAUGCUUCGGGUCAUUGUCCAUCUGCACUGUGAAGCGCCGUCCAAUGUGUUCUGAAGCAUUUAGCUGAAUAGGAGCAGAUAAUAUUGCCUGAAACACUUCAGAAUUCAUCCUGCUGCUUUUGUCAGCAGUCACAUCAUCAAUAAAUACAAGAGAACCAGUUCCAUUGGCAGCCAUACAUGCCCACGCCAUGACACUACCAC